rnacentral:rRNA from 1 species
UACGUAGGUGGCAAGCGUUGUCCGGAUUUACUGGGCGUAAAGAGCGCGCAGGCGGUCGGUCAAGUCGCGUGUGAAAGCCCCCGGCUCAACUGGGGAGGGUCACGCGAUACUGAUCGACUCGAAGGCAGGAGAGGGUAGUGGAAUUCCCGGUGUAGUGGUGAAAUGCGUAGAUAUCGGGAGGAACACCAGUGGCGAAGGCGACUACCUGGCCUGUUCUUGACGCUGAGGCGCGAAAGCUAGGGGAGCAAACAGG